GCCAGCCAGAUCCCGGAAGCCGCCCUCUCCUUUCCGGCGGUGCGCCUGAUUGACAGGUCCCCACCCCCAGCGCCCCUGAUUGUAUGGGGCUUCAGGCCCCGCCCCCUCAGGCCCUGAGUGACAGGAGAUUGCGAUCUCACGUGAGGCUGGAUGUGGCCAGAAUGACCGUUUUGGCCUAGCGGUUUGUAGGGGGGAGACAGGAGACAUCAAUCAACAUAUGUAAGAUGAACACUGGUUUGAUCUGGUACAACCUGAAGCAAAAGUGGGUCAACUCGAAGCCAGGAGGGGGCUUCCAGGUCACAGAAACGGGGGUCUCCCUCGGUUGCCAAGGCUGUCUCUGGUGCCCAACGCAGGGCUCCCCGUAAUCUCUACAAAUAAUCCAGUGAAGGAACACCAGAGCGUGGAAAGCUGAGGACGACCGACAAAGGACUCCCGAGUAGGUUUUCACUUCAAGCUCUAGGGUAAGGAGGGCGCUCGGGGAAUUCCAGGGAAACCUCGGGAAAAUGUGGGUCGAGCUGACAGUAAGUUCGCUAAUUACUUAAGCCUUGUGCAGCAGUUACUGCGCCGCGGAGGGGUAAUUGUCAGCACCCAAAAUCUCACAUCUUUGUUCCGUCUGGUAGACAAGUAUUCUCCUUGGUUCCUGGAAUAUGGAAUCAUGAAUGUAGAAGAUUGGGACAAGGUGGGGUCAGACUUAAAACGAGCACAACAAGUGGGCCGCGAUAUUCCCGUCUCUGCUUGGUCUGUGUGGUCUGCAAUUAAAACAGCCCUGGAGCCCUUCCACACUGAGGAGGAGAAGGAGGAUUUUCAGGAUGACAUUGGAAAGUUGAGUAAUCAGGAGUCUAAUUAUCAGCUAAGUGAACCAUGACAGUCUCGUUUAAAAAAGGGCGAGAAACGGGAAGGUAUGUAUGCUAAUCUCCAGAGACUUAUAAAAGAAACUGUGCCACCUACUGCGCCUUUAGGGGAAGGUCUGGAAUGGCCACCCCCAGGCCAGCCUCCUGAAUAUUUGGAAGGGGAGCCUGGGACCCGCGCCUUGCCGCUCCCAUCGUUGCAGGCCCCGCCAGUAACUAUGGCGAAGGGAAGCUUCAGGCUUGUCCAACAGCCAAUUAGGAUGAGGGAAUGAUCCAGGCUUGCCCACCUGUUAGUUAUGGUAGAGGAGUGCUGCGAGCGGGUCCAAAUACAAAUAUGGCACAGGGACAAUCCAGUCAUCCAUUCGCCAGGCACAAGAAAUGGGGGAUUUGAAUGCUUGGCAGUUUCUGGUAAUUAUUUCACCAGCUGAGGAGGCCAGAGAACUUACUCAAGCAUGCUGGGAGCCAUUUCCUUUUAAAAUAUUAAAAGACUUAAAGCAAGCAAUUGGACAAUAUGGGCCAAAUUCCCCUUAUGUUCAUUCCUUGUUACAAUGUGUGGCUUAUAACAGACGCUGAAUACCUAUGGAUUGGGAGGCACUAGCCCUUCCACUUUCCACCAUGAGGUGAAAAAGACUGAGACUCCACCAGAUGCAACUGCCCAAUCUCAGACAUUCCAGCCACCAAUAUUGUGAGCCAAAAGGACCUUUUUUUACUUAUAAAUUACCCAGCCUCAGGUAUUCUGUUACAGAAGCACAAAACAGACUAAGACACAAAUGUAUGAAAAAACUCACUGAAGGUGUAGGGAAAAUGUGUUGACCUAAGUCACUUUGAAAAUGAAUAGAAUCCGUAUGCUGAAGGCAAAUGAACUAUACUUCAUCACUGGAUUCCAUUUUAUAAAGUUCUUUCCAACAGAAGCAAUUGUGAACAAUUGUAAAACCACAGUAUCUGUAUCUGGAAUAAAGCAAUGACUUACAUAAGUCACAGAUGGUAGGAACCAGGUUUCUCACUGUUGAAGUGGGAGGUUACAAAUUAGCAAGGGGAGAAGGCUAGAAUGAUUCAUGUGAUAGUAGAUCAGAGGUGGAGACAUGAAUGUAAACUUAUGUUUAGUUUAAUAUAGA